GAGUUUGAUCCUGGCUCAGGAUGAACGCUGGCGGCGUGCUUAACACAUGCAAGUCGAGCGAUGAAGUUUCCUUCGGGAAACGGAUUAGCGGCGGACGGGUGAGUAACACGUGGGUAACCUGCCUCAUAGAGUGGAAUAGCCUUCCGAAAGGAAGAUUAAUACCGCAUAACGUUGAAAGAUGGCAUCAUCAUUUAACCAAAGGAGCAAUCCGCUAUGAGAUGGACCCGCGGCGCAUUAGCUAGUUGGUGGGGUAACGGCCUACCAAGGCGACGAUGCGUAGCCGACCUGAGAGGGUGAUCGGCCACAUUGGGACUGAGACACGGCCCAGACUCCUACGGGAGGCAGCAGUGGGGAAUAUUGCACAAUGGGGGAAACCCUGAUGCAGCAACGCCGCGUGAGUGAUGAAGGUUUUCGGAUCGUAAAGCUCUGUCUUUGGGGAAGAUAAUGACGGUACCCAAGGAGGAAGCCACGGCUAACUACGUGCCAGCAGCCGCGGUAAUACGUAGGUGGCGAGCGUUAUCCGGAUUUACUGGGCGUAAAGGGAGCGUAGGCGGAUGAUUAAGUGGGAUGUGAAAUACCCGGGCUCAACUUGGGUGCUGCAUUCCAAACUGGUUAUCUAGAGUGCAGGAGAGGAGAGUGGAAUCCCUAGUGUAGCGGUGAAAUGCGUAGA
rnacentral:rRNA from 1 species